GAUGAACGCUGGCGGCGUGCUUAACACAUGCAAGUCGAACGAAGCAUCUGGUUUGAUUUCUUCGGAUUGAAGACCUUAUGACUUAGUGGCGGACGGGUGAGUAACGCGUGGGCAAUCUGCCCCAUACCGGGGGACAACAGUUGGAAACGACUGCUAAUACCGCAUAAGCGCACGGGACCGCAUGGUCGUGUGUGAAAAACUCCGGUGGUAUGGGAUGAGCCCGCGUUGGAUUAGGUAGUUGGUGAGGUAACGGCCCACCAAGCCGACGAUCCAUAGCCGACCUGAGAGGGUGACCGGCCACAUUGGGACUGAGACACGGCCCAAACUCC
rnacentral:rRNA from 1 species